rnacentral:sRNA from 1 species
GCUGGGUGUGUUGGCACAUGCCUGUAAUCCCAGCAGCUUGGGAGGCUGAGGCAGGAGGAUCACAAGUUCAAACCUAGCCCCAUCAACAUAAUGAAGCCCUAAGCAACUCAAUGAAACCCUGUCUCUA